AGGAGCAACAGCCCUAGUGGCGGGGCCAGCUCUGGAAACCUGGAUUCAGCUCCGGCAGGAACUCCGGAGCUCUCUGUCUGCAGGGCCUGGAGGCUCCGGGCGGGG
rnacentral:pre_miRNA from 1 species